CCCUGAUCACUGAGAGGAGACUUUCACAAUAAGAGCCCUGAUCACUGAGGGGAGACUUUCACAAUAAGAGCCCUGAUCACUGAGGGGAGACUUUCACAAUAAGAGCCCUGAUCACUGAGAGGAGACUUUCACAAUAAGAGCCCUGAUCACUGAGAGGAGACUUUCACAAUAAGAGCCCUGAUCACUGAGGGGAGACUUUCACAAUAAGAGCCCUGAUCACUGAGGGGAGACUUUCACAAUAAGAGCCCUGAUCACUGAGGGGAGACUUUCACAAUAAGAGCCCUGAUCACUGAGAGGAGACUUUCACAAUAAGAGCCCUGAUCACUGAGAGGAGACUUUCACAAUAAGAGCCCUGAUCACUGAGGGGAGACUUUCACAAUAAGAGACUCAGAUGUCAGUUUAGUGGUUUCUUGUCUCCUUCACAAUAAAUGUGACCUCUGUGUCUGCAGGUCCGGAUCCAUGGGCCGCUCUGGAUCUCCAGCCAGGAGUCCCUCGAGCGCCGGGAGUCGCGGCCGGGACUGACGACGACGACGACCUCGAGUUUCUGUGAAUUCUUUUAUUUUGAAAUAUUCAGUUGAUGUUGGGUAGUAGGAGUUUUUGUAUGAACACACUGUUCUCUCUUGUAUUUGAUCAUGUUUGCAGCUCAGUUUCCUUCCUGUUAACAAACAAUAAAGAUUUAUACAACAUG